CUGUGCGUCUGCCGAGAGUGAAAGAGAAAUAGUGCAUAUAUUGGGUUGUGUUAGGGAGAGAUAUUUUAUUAUUUUAUGCAUGUGUUUUUUAUAAUACAAAUUAAAAGAGAUGUGCGUGGUGUGUGCAUAUAUUUUAUGUAAAAUAUGACAGUGUACGAAAGACGUGGUUUGGUGGGUGUCGUAUUUGAAGUGUGUUGAACUGUUGGGUGGGGAGGUUGCUGUGAAUUGGACAGGUGUGCUGCUGGUGUGCCACCAGGGUCUUCACAUUGCUGAAGGUGGCAGUUGAUGUGAAGAGCAACGCCAUGUAUCAUCUACCGAUCCAUAGCGUCACUGUGUUCCUGGUCUUUUUCCUGUCAUGUACUGAAACGGCAGCCGAAGGUAAGCCCCUUGUGUUGUG